AGAAAUUCUUAUUAUAUAAUAUUGUGAGUAUUUUUCUUGAGUAUAAGAAUACUUUGAGCGUAGUUUUUCUGCAAGAUUUUCUCCAGUCAAAUCCAGUUUCUACUAAGGUAAAUGAUAUUAUUUUAUUGCAAUACUCAUGAGAAAUAUUAUUUCCUUUCAUACUUCAUAUUAUGUAAGCGAUAUUAUUUCAUCUCGUAUUCCUAAAUUUGAACUUACUAUGGUAAGUAUUGCUUCUAUAAUUUCUGAAAUGAUUAGAAAUUUCGCUUCAUCUAAUAUCAUUUCAUAGGAAUAUUGGUCUGAACAUUUUAUCAAAUUUGAAACUUUUCAUGAUUGGGUACUGUUCACGGGUACUGUUCAUACGGUAUUAUUCACGGGUACUGUUCACGGUUACUGUUCACAAAAGAAAAAAAAAUUAUUUUUUUUCCUUCCAAGUUAUCUGUUAUGACCCUUAUUCGUGAAAUUUAAUCCAUGUUUUGAUUUUUCAUCAUCCUCAGUCCUAAAUGAUGAUAUUACUGAAUAUCUUUGGCCUGUAGUGCAAAUAUGAAUAAUUAACUAACGAAUAUCUUUGGCCCGUAGUGCAAAGAUGAAUAGGUGUUGAGAUGAACAUGACCGACUGGUGAUACGAAUGAAUAUCUUUGGCCUGUAGAACUCAUUCUCUACUUGACUCUUUUAAUGGAUUGUUGUUUUCGCUGCAGUUGUUGAUCUAAAACUUGUUGUCUAUUAUAUUCUAUCAGAUUUUUCCCUGUUGAGGACUAAUGAUAAUUUGUUGUAUAUUAUCUUAGUCAUAAUAUUCUUUACUAGGCUAGUUGAGCUCACCUUUUUCCUUGUUGUUUCAUUUUUCUUCUCAGGAGGUGAGAAUUUAGCAGGGACUAGCCGGGGUAUGGAGUAAUGAUUCAAGAUAGUUGUUUUAGUAGUCCUCACUAUUUUGUAAAAUAGUGUUUCAAUAAUUGUAAAGAGGACUUAUUUGGGUGUGGAUAUUGUCUAGAAGACAAUAUUUGUAUUUAAACUCACAGCUUGUGUAUUUGUCGUAUUUUACACGACAAUUGUAUUAAUAAACUUAUAGUUAUUUCUGUACCAUGUA
rnacentral:lncRNA from 1 species